GACGAACGCUGGCGGCGUGCUUAACACAUGCAAGUCGAACGGAAAGGCCCUGCUUUUGUGGGGUGCUCGAAUGGCGAACGGGUGAGUAACACGUGAGUAACCUGCCCUUGACUUUGGGAUAACUUCAGGAAACUGGGGCUAAUACCGGAUAGGAGCUCCUGCUGCAUGGUGGGGGUUGGAAAGUUUCGGCGGUUGGGGAUGGACUCGCGGCUUAUCAGCUUGUUGGUGGGGUAGUGGCUUACCAAGGCUUUUACGGGUAGCCGGCCUGAGAGGGUGACCGGCCACAUUGGGACUGAGAUACGGCCCAGACUCCUACGGGAGGCAGCAGUGGGGAAUAUUGCACAAUGGGCGGAAGCCUGAUGCAGCAACGCCGCGUGCGGGAUGACGGCCUUCGGGUUGUAAACCGCUUUCGCCUGUGACGAAGCGUGAGUGACGGUAAUGGGUAAAGAAGCACCGGCUAACUACGUG
rnacentral:rRNA from 1 species